CCCCCCUUUUACUUAGAUCUAAUAGUAAUAUAACAAACUUUUCUUUUUCAUUUUCAGACAUAUCCAGAGGGUUUUCUCUUCAUCUCACGCAUCCCACCUUUAAUCAGACAUAUGUGAUUCAUAUGAGAGAAAAUUAGUGUUUCUGAGACCAAAUGGUGGUGUUUAUAAGAUUUUGCUUCUGCACUGAAUUCAAUGUUUUAUUUACUGCUUGGUUAUUUUGUUUUUGUUUUUUAAGAAAUGGGAGGAGUGUAAUAUCUAGAGGUACAUGAAAAAAAGAAAUGGAAGGAAUGGACAGGCCCAGAAUUAAAUGAUAAAAACUCAUCUGGUUGGAAUGAAGUACACUGAACAUUUGAGGAAGUUAGAGAUUAAUUCAACCCAGUGGGUUUUGGGGUUUUUAUAUGUGUUAGUACAUUCAGCGUUAGGGUUGGGUUUCUUGUCUCUGUAAUCACUUCUCAAAAAUGAAUUUGGGCUUCUCCAGAUAGCCUUUUUAUCCAUUUAUUAUUUCAAGUAAUGGUAUAAGGAAAUUGUAACCAUUUGUGUGCUUUACAUGUUUAAGAUACAAACUUACAGUUCCCAGAAGUCAAUUCAGUCAUUCUCUAUAAGAGCUGUUGUGGAAAAAGUUCUCACUUCACUUACUCAUUCCUUUGCAUUUUCCAACUUUAGUAAAGCAUGACUUCAUGCCUUGGAUCAUACAGGAUUUCAACGGGAGAUUUAUAAGUCUAUUUUGUUAGAAUAAAAAGCAAUAAUACUUCCUGAAAUACAUCUUGGGCUCUUUGCAGAAGCUGAACUAUCUGGUAAUUACUAUUUAGCAAACAGCUAACAGCUAGCUCUUAAUUUUUCAGAAAUAAGAGGACAUCAUUGGCCACUAUCAUACCACUAAUUUUAUUCCACCAAUGCUUUCACAGAGGAUGUCACCAAAGAAAGAAGUGGCAUCCACUACCCCUCCCCCAUCCUUCCACUCUGAACCAGUACAGGAUAUUCUCAUGGUCAGGGCAUUCUCUCCUUGGCAGGAUGUAGUUAAUGACAUAUGCAGAAUUAAUGACUUGGUUGCCCUAGGCCCCCCGUCAAGGCUUUUGUUCAAGGGAGAGUAAAGAGGAUAGGUCUCAGUAUGUCAUCCAAACAGGAUGGAUACAGAAUGCCAACCAGGUUAGCCCUGGCAAGUUAAGACAUUUUACAGUGCCACUACCUACCUCCAUACUGUAUCAGAGGAGCCAGUUGCACAGUGUUGAUCUCCCUAAGACUAUUAUAAUAAGGAAGGGGUUUUUUUCUUAGCCCAGUUACUACUAAAACUCACUCAGAGGAGCAAGUGAAAUUUGUCACAAUUGGCUCGACUGCUUUAUCUCACUUUGAAAAAGAAAAGUUACAAAUUCUAGUAAGCAAAAGAUUUUUUGUGACCAGGUCUCCCUGACCUGCACAAAAUAAACUCUUCAUGAGUUAAACCAAAACAGAUUUAAUGUCUAAACUUAAAUCUAGUUUGACAUUAACUUCUUUUCCAAAGAGAAAUAACGUUAACAAUCUGAAAUCAUCCCUGCACAGACUUUCUUGGCUCUUCUUUUCUGCCGUCCUAUGAAUCACAAAUAGAAGUUUAAGAAAGCUGUCAGGUAGGCGCCUCAAAUUCAUUUAAAAUGAGGAAUGAUGAAAGAAUAAGAAAAACCAGCAAAUGAUAGCUUACUUAUUCAGUUAUUUGGCUUGAUACUGCUUGAAAGUGACAUUUCUAGAUUAAAGAUCUGAUAAGCUCUGAUAGUUGGGAAAUAAUACUAGUUAUUUCUUGGACACCCUAAGAUGUGCCACCAUUGCUCUAAGCACUUUACAUGUGUUGUUCAACCCUCAGCAAUGCUAUGAAAUAGGGGCUGAGUCUCCUAAAAAAUAUAUUUCAAUAGAAAAUAGUAUCAGUAAAAUGCUAGCACAACUAACUAUCUGUCUAAAGACAAUAAAAGUUCAACCCCUAUAUCAUGCAAAAAGCACUUUCCAGAUAUAUUAAAAUGUUUUCAAGCUAUAAAGUAAAACAGUAGAAGUCUUAGAAGAAAAUCUAAGAGACUAGAAAUCUAGAGAUAGGGUAGACCUUCUUAGCUAAUUUUUAAAAAUGAAGCUAUAUUUAAGAUAUAUAUUUCAAGUAAAUAAUAAGUGUGUGUGUGUGUACACACAGAUGCUUCUCAGCUUACAAUGGGGUUAUGUCCCAAUAAGCCCAUCAGAAGUCAAAAAUGUAAGUCGAAAAUGCAUUUAAUACCCUGAUAAAUCCAUCACAAAGCUGAAAAAUUAUAAGUAAAACUGUAAGUCACAGACUGUAUAUAUAAAUUUAAAAUUUGGCAAAAUAUAUUGCAAAGUCAAAUUUGGGAAAGUAUAGCACAGAUAAAAGAUUAAACUAUUCACGGCCAGGCACGGUGGAUCAUGCCUGUAAUCCCAACACUUUGGGAGGCCGAGGCGGGUGGAUCACCUGAGGUCAGGAGUUUGAGACUAGCCUGGCCAACGUGGAGAAACCCCAUCUCUACUAAAAAUACAAAAUUAGCUGGGUGUGGUGGUGCAUGCCUGUAAUCCUAGCUACUCAGGAGGCUGAGGCAGGAGAAUUGCUUGAACCUAGGAGGCGAAAGUUGCAGUGAGCCAAGAUGGUGCCAUUGCACUCCAGCCUGGGCAACAAGAGUGAUACUCCGUUUAAAAAAAAAAAAAAAAAAAAAGGUAAACUAUUCAAAAGAUAAAUGGUUGAAAGAUAUAUAACUAGGCAGUUUAGAUAAGAACAAAUCCAAAUGGCCCAUCAACAUAAAAAGAUGCUCUAACUGUAGCCAGAGAAAUACGAAUCAAAGUACCAACGAGCCCAACACAUGGACGAAAACUUCAGAGAACACUACAGUCCCAGAAGAGAGGUAAAGGGCAAGAAAUGAAUCAUUUAUUGCUGAUGGAAAUGUGCAUUGUAGAGCUGAUAUCUGUUCAAAUUAAAUAUGCAUAUUUGACCUCAAUUCUACUACUGAUAUCUACACCAAGGAAAUGAAAGGAAAUGCACAAGAUUAUUUAUUGCCACACUCUAGAAGGAAAAACAGAGUGCAUGCCCAUCAAUAGAAUAGUUGAAUAAAUUAUGAUUCAUGCAUAAUAUAGAACAUUAUGCAUUCAUUUAAAAAUGAGUUUGAUGUUUAAAGGUUGACUUAGAAGGAUUCCCGUGCAAAGUGAACAAAACAGAAUACCGAGAAGGAUGUAUGUGAGGGAUGCAUGUGGGCACCUGGGAAAGGAGAUGAAGAAAGCAACUGAAGGAUAUUUACCAAGUUGUUAAUAUGCAUUACCUGACAUGGUGAUAUAGGAGUAGGGGUGAGGAAGUGAAGGAUCUGAGUAGGUGGAAAAAGAAAAGCAAAAGUACAACAGCGGGAGAAAAAACAGGAUGACUCGUCUAGAAGAGACAUUGUCAGUAACAAGUAAAUAACAUUUUCUGGAAUAUAAAAAAAAAAGCUAUAUGAAUGUCAUCAUUAUAUGUAAAAUAUGAAUGUAAAAUACAUGGGAGGAUAAUAUGCAUUAAUAAAAAUUAUGGUGCUGGCAACAGUAUCAUGGAUGACUGUAUUAUUAUUUCCUUUUCCUUAACAUUGUUAUGCUAUCUUUGAGUAAAAUUAAUUUUAGAAAUUUAAAAAUAAUUGUCAUUAUACUUAAACCUUAUAUUUAAACAAGAAAAUAAUUCAAAAAACCAAAGCAGUUUAACUUUCUUUCAUUACCUGAAAUUCAGCCUUUUUACACAGCUAGAGAACUUCAGUUGAUCUUGUGAAGGACAAAGAAGCAGAAA
rnacentral:lncRNA from 10 species